GCUCCGUUUUCCAACAACAAGUUAGUGCAUAAUUGUAAUUUGGAUUUUUUUUUCUAAAGCAAUUACUUAUCUGCUACCAUUAAAGGGAAAUAAUUUACAUUACUGAAAAUCAGCAAAAUGUUGUCACAAUUUUUGUCUGACAAAUAUCAACUUUCCUCAUUUAAUUUGUUUGUAACAUUACUUUUAUGAUUAUUAAACUUUUAUCCUCUGUUUUGAAAAGAAACAAUGAAAUUUAUUUUUAAGAUGAUUAAAAUUUUGAAAAAAAUUGUAGGCAAAAUCAGAAGCCAGGUAUCAUUGAUUAAUUUUUUAGUGUACAAUAACUCAAUAAAAAUUAUUUCCCUUUAAUGCCAGCAGAUCAGUAAUUUGUAUAGAAAAUAUUAUACGAAUCAUAAUUACACAAUAACUUUGUCUUAGAAGACAAAGCUAUAAAAUAUACAUCUACAAAACAAUGGUUUGAACUAUUUAUUUAUAAAAUCUAUUUAUGAUAGAAGUUUCCAUGUCAAAAUUAGACCUUCUUAUUCAGUGACUCAUACUAUAGUAAGUCAUUUUUGUGUUUGAAACAAAUGACAAAGAUAUCAACUAACUGGAUCUGGAUGGUAAGUAUUACUUUUGAUUUCACAGCACUCACUUCAUACUAACAACAUUUCACUUGAGCAAUCUGCUAAAACAUUUUACCAGUUGAUCAGUUAGUUGGAGAAGAAAUCUAACUGCAAUUUGGUAAACUGUUUUGGCCAUUGCUAUUGUGAUACCCCAAAGGUCACUGGAUAAGCACUGUAAUUUUUCAGAUGGGAUGGAAACUGAGAACAAGUGUUGUCAUAGUUUGUUUCGUCUUGGUAUUGAUAGGAGGAACAUCCGCUGAUGUCUGCACAAAGCAAUGUAUUAAGACUGCCUUUGGAUGUUCUCUUAGAUGUAAAUCCAAUGCUUAUCAGUAUGAUAAGUAUAUGAUAUGUGCGGUUUACUGUCGAGUGAAAUGUUUUCAGUGUGCAAUAGAAUGCAGUGACUCUACCUACUCGUGCAAAGAUUACUUUAAUCUUAUUUGAAACAAUAAUUUAUAUUGUUUAGAAUUAUUUGUUUGAUACAUUCUUUGAUACAUUUGUGUAUCUGGACUCUGACUAUACUAAUUUUAUCAAGCUUGACUUCAAAGAUGCAAAUAAAUACAUAUUUUGAUUUUUAAUUAAUUUACCAGAGAUGAUAUUUAGAUAAUAGACUGUAUCCCUGUAUCCUUUGUCUGUUUGGCUCUGACAGUUGACAAGGGUGUCUGUGAAACCUGAAUGUUGCAAGGAAGAGGACAAGUCUAUUUAGGUUAUAAUAAAUGCGUUUAUGUACUUUUGUGUGAAUCUUUUUCAUUGUGUUUCUUGAUGUAUAUGCUUUAAAUGCGUCACCUUCCAUUCCAGGAGAGAAAAAUAUGCCAUACUAAUAUUUAAUACACUUUAUCAGUAUUUAGAUACAUUUCUAUCGAUCUGACGAAAAGGAGACUCUUUUGGUAUGCUUGGGGAGAAAACGAGCGAGAAAUCCAACCAUAAAACCAUUACCACGGCACAAAACAACGAAAAAACAGACAAAUUAGCAAAACAUUGCUGAGAAAAAAGUAAUGACCCCACAAAAGCCAAGGGUGAACUCGUGUGGUUCUGAAGGGCCGGCAGUAAUUGUCUGACUAGUGAUUAACAAAUAAAUGUGGUCUCAACAAUAGACAUAG
rnacentral:lncRNA from 1 species